CAGUAGCCACGGUAAUACGAGGGGGGCAAGCGUUGUUCGGAAUUAUUGGGCGUAAAGGGUGCGUAGGCGGUUUGGCAAGUUUGGUGUGAAAUCUUCGGGCUCAACUCGAAGUCUGCAUCGAAAACUGCCGGGCUUGAGUAUGGGAGAGGUGAGUGGAAUUUCCGGUGUAGCGGUGAAAUGCGUAGAUAUCGGAAGGAACACCUGUGGCGAAAGCGGCUCACUGGACCAUAACUGACGCUGAGGCACGAAAGCUAGGGGAGCAAACAGGAUUAGAUACCCCUGUAGUCCCUGUCUCUUAUAC
rnacentral:rRNA from 1 species